UGCGUAGGUGGCAAGCGUUAUCCGGAUUUAUUGGGCGUAAAGGGAACGCAGGCGGUCUUUUAAGUCUGAUGUGAAAGCCUUCGGCUUAACCGGAGUAGUGCAUAGGAAACUGGGAGACUUGAGUGCAGAAGAGGAGAGUGGAACUCCAUGUGUAGCGGUGAAAUGCGUAGAUAUAUGGAAGAACACCAGUGGCGAAAGCGGCUCUCAGGUCUGUAACUGACGCUGAGGUUCGAAAGCGUGGGUAGCAAACAGG
rnacentral:rRNA from 1 species